rnacentral:rRNA from 2 species
UACGUAGGGGGCGAGCGUUGUCCGGAUUUACUGGGCGUAAAGCGCGUGUAGGCGGCUGCUUAAGUCGGGUGUGAAAGCCCGGGGCUCAACCCCGGGAUGCCGCCCGAGACUGGGCGGCUUGAGGUCGGAAGAGGGGAGUGGAAUUCCAGGUGUAGCGGUGAAAUGCGUAGAGAUCUGGAGGAACACCCGUGGCGAAGGCGGCUCCCUGGUCCGAUUCUGACGCUGAGACGCGAAAGCGCGGGGAGCGAACGGG